ACCAAGAGCUUUUACUUAAGUAUGUUGUUGCUGUUGAUGAUGUUAUAUAGUAUAUUGAAAGUGAUGCUUAAUGUACAAGUCUGCAAAGAAAAUCAUACCACAUGAUUACAAUGGAAUUUGAGUUUUGACUCUACUGUACACAGUUGGUUCAUCAGUUUAGGUACUGUAUACGGUUGACUCACCAGUUUAGGUACUGUACACAGUUGGUUCAUCAGUUUAGGUACUGUACACGGUUGGUUCACCAGUUUUAAGUGCUGUACACGGUUGGUUCAUCAGUUUAGGUACUGUAUACGGUUGACUCACCAGUUUAGGUACUGUACACAGUUGGUUCAUCAGUUUAGGUACUGUACACGGUUGGUUCACCAGUUUAAGUGCUGUACACGGUUGGUUCACCAGCUUAGGUACUGUAUACAGUUGGCUCACCAAUUUAGGUACUGUACAUGGUUGCCUCACCAGUUUAGGUACUGUACACAGUUGGCUCACCAAUUUAGGUACUAUAUUUCGGCAUUGUCUUGUCAAUUUCUAGAUAAGAUUGUUAGAAUAUAUCCAUGCAUUAUCUUCAUAUUGAAAAACAGAUGUAUUAACAUGAUAAAGCUGGCUUAACCACUGAACUGCGCAACGCACCUGCAGGCGCUCGACGAGGGGUGCGUAAUGUGCCUCCGGGAUCUUAUAUUUUUAGAGUUCCAUUCAAAACUGGCGCGGUGAUGCGGGUACAAAAUGGAUGCCUGGGAGCCCCAGUAAUUGUCCGUCAUCUUGAAAAAAAUCCCAGCAUGUCCUGUGGCCAUGGGGAGCCUCAAUUUCAAAGAAGCAACCAUGUCUGACGCAUCGUCCAUGAGCUCCCGCUCUUCGGUCACCAGCAGUCAUGGAAAACGACUCUCUGAGGAGGAAAUACGCGACAUUUUGUCUGAUGAUGCUGCUAUGGAUGAUGACGUAGACUAUGAUCCAGAGAAAGACCUUACACAGAGGUCUGAUAUGAGUGAGGGAGAGACUGAGGUGGAUGAUGUCGCAAGUGUGUACAGUACACACGCCUCACCCAGCCUGCCUCGCCACCCUGGGUCAACACCGUUAGAGUCACCACCACUAUGUGUGUCCUCUGACACAAGUUUGUUCAGUGAUAGUACUUGCGAUGAAUCUUUCUCAGGCUUCAGUGACAUAGGUUCCGAUACAAGUAGUGUUGACGACCCGAGUACAUAGCGAGGGUGUUAAUACAGUACAGUAGUUGGGAUGUUAUAAGCCACUAUGUUUUCCCUAUUUUUUCAUGGUUUAACCAAAUCUUUACAAACUUUGAUUGAUUUGGUGUAGAGCUGAUGCUGUAAUAUGCAGCCAAAUAUUUUUAACAAGAAAUCAAUUUCUAAAAUAUAUACCCCCUAUAACAUUGCAAAACAUGUUUACUGUACUAUCUUUAUUUCUAUAUGAGUGAUCCUACCCUUCUGGUGCCUUCAAGAUAAUUCUAACAUAUAGAGCAGAAAUUAUUGAAAAGAAAAUAUUUAAUUAUUUUUUACCUGAAUGUGAAAUAUAUCUACUUUUGUCCAAAGAAAAAUGAUUAAAUUGACAUCAAAAUCUGUACACUAUCGGUCAGUUCACACUAUGAUAAGUUUUGUUUUGUGGUGAGAAUAUUAAGCAUAGGCUUCUUUAUGAUCAUCAAAAAUGUGAAGAAUGAACUGUAACUAAUUGUCUCUUCAAUUUCCCAAGGAUAUUGUAGCCAGAUGUGCAAUGAUCACUGGAGGUCAGUCAUCAUCAUCAUCAUUACACUGUUUUCCUGGGGUGAUGAGGCAUCAGCAUUGAAUUAAUGUGAAACAUGCAGAAUCAUUCGGUUACUCCUAUUAUAAGCACCCUAGAAGAGAGACAACAUUAGGAUGCCGUCCAAGAUUCAUGAGGACCUUAAGCUCUUGUAUUAGGUCUCGUCUUUCUCUCUCUCCUGCAGACUCCUUCAGUGUUUUCACUGCCACCAACUUGGAUCCUUCACCCUUCAGCCCUAGUGCCUCACACUUCCACACCUGCACCACAAAUAAAUUAAUUACAAGAUAAAUUAGAUGACAGAAGGAACUAUGAAGGAUAAGCAACUGUACAGAAAUUAGAGGCUAACAUUUAAUAUAUAAUGGCAAUCAUGGAAACCAAGACCAAGCUAUUCAAAAAAGCCUACAGCUAGAAAAACUCAUCAAAAACACAUCAGGGAGAAAGGGGGGAACAGUUUACAAGCCAUCAGAAUUCUGCCCAAGCCAGAUAAAUCAUUUAAAUGCCUGAACGUUGUGCGUAUUAGUGGCUUCAGGCAUAAUAUAUACUAGCUCUUUCUAGAAAUUCAACAUUCUGCUUGUAAUUCAUUUUGUUUGUACUUUUACCUAAAUACACUAUUAUUUUUAUUAAUAUUAUUAUUAUUAAUACAGUAUUGUUCUUUUGAGCAUAUGAUGUGUGUGUAAUAAAAUAAAAUUAUUAUAUCUCA